rnacentral:lncRNA from 1 species
GGUGGUGGUGGUGACGGUGCUACUGCAGACGAGGUGGGGAAUAACAUGUGGUCGCCGUGGUUUUUCUUUUUCAACCUUAAUUUUUUAUCUAUAUAAUAAAUAUCAUAAUUUCACUAAAAAUCUUCUUAACUAAUUCUGCAAGUACUGGAGCGCUUCAUUUGCUAACAUGGAGUUAGCUCAUGCCCGGUGUCUCCUCUGGAGGCUGAGUCUGUUAUUGGAUCCUCAAAUGUAAUUUGAUAUGUAGGUGAAUUUGAUGGCUUAUGAAGCUUUCAGCAACGAUUUAUUUUGUCAAAGUUAGUGAACUAUCAUAGUUGGUCCGUAUAUAACAAUGGUUGUUUAUUACUGUAUUAUAAAAUAAAAUUAAAGUUUGAUACAUUAAUAAGUUACCUCUUCUAGACUGUAAU